rnacentral:rRNA from 1 species
UACAGAGGGUGCAAGCGUUGUUCGGAAUUACUGGGCGUAAAGCGCGCGCAGGCGGUUCUCCAAGUCAGUGGUGAAAGCCCGGAGCUCAACUCCGGAACUGCCAUUGAAACUGUUGAACUUGAGGACGAGAGAGGUGAGUGGAAUUCCCAGUGUAGAGGUGAAAUUCGUAGAUAUUGGGAAGAACACCGGUGGCGAAGGCGGGUCUCUGGGCCGAUACUGACGCUGAGGAGCGAAAGCGUGGGGAGCGAACAGG